rnacentral:rRNA from 1 species
UACGUAGGGUGCAAUCGUUGUCCGGAAUUAUUGGGAGUAAAGAGCUCGUAGGCGGUUUGUCGCGUCUGCUGUGAAAGUUCGGGGCUCAACCCCGGAACUGCAGUGGAUACGGGCAGACUAGAGUGCGGUAGAGGAGACUGGAAUUCCUGGUGUAGCGGUGGAAUGCGCAGAUAUCAGGAGGAACACCAGUGGCGAAGGCGGGUCUCUGGGCCGCAACUGACGCUGAGGAGCGAAAGCGUGGGGAGAAAACAGG